UCGAUGGUUUUCUGGAAACAUCGAUUAUCGUCACUUGCAACCGAGAAACAGAAAGCGUGUGAACAAUAUUUGUGGUAUUUGGUAAACAAUAGUGGUGUUGGUGGCAAAGUGCUUGCUUAAUGGACAAGUUCAUUAAAAGAACCAGAUCAUUGUUGGACAACGAGAACGAUAAAAACAUACCGAGUCCCAAGCGGACAAAAAAGGAAAUAUCAAAUAUCAAAGCUGGCCAAGUCUUUAGUGAGCGCAGGAGCUUUCUUAAACCAAAAAUUGUUAACUUGUUGUUAUUUUUGAACAAAAACAGCUUUCUUUAUGAUCUCAAUUAAAUAAGUCAAAUUUAAACGAC